AGUGAACGCUGGCGGUAGGCCUAACACAUGCAAGUCGAACGGCAGCACAGUAAGAGCUUGCUCUUACGGGUGGCGAGUGGCGGACGGGUGAGGAAUACAUCGGAAUCUACUUUUUCGUGGGGGAUAACGUAGGGAAACUUACGCUAAUACCGCAUACGACCUACGGGUGAAAGCACGGGAUCUUCGGACCUUGCGCGAUUGAAUGAGCCGAUGUCGGAUUAGCUAGUUGGCGGGGUAAAGGCCCACCAAGGCGACGAUCCGUGGCUGGUCUGAGAGGAUGAUCAGCCACACUGGAACUGAGACACGGCCCAGACUCCUACGGGAGGCAGCAGUGGGGAAUAUUGGACAAUGGGCGCAAGCCUGAUCCAGCCAUACCGCGUGGGUGAAGAAGGCCUUCGGGUUGUAAAGCCCUUUUGUUGGGAAAGAAAAGCAGCAGGUUAAUACCCCGCUGUUCUGACGGUACCCAAAGAAUAAGCACCGGCUAACUUCGUG
rnacentral:rRNA from 1 species